AAUCAACGCUGGCGGCGUGCCUCAGACAUGCAAGUCGAACGAGAAGUCCCCUUCGGGGGAUGGAUAGUGGCGCACGGGUGAGUAACACGUGGGUAAUUUACCUUUGGGUGGGGAACAACAGCCGGAAACGGCUGCUAAUACCGCAUAAUGCAGCGGCUCCUCAUGGAGACAGUUGUUAAAGCGGGGGAUCGCAAGACCUCGCGCCUGAAGAGAAGCCCGCGGCAGAUAGCUAGUUGGUAAGGUAAUGGCUUACCAAGGCGACGAUCUGUAACCGGCCUGAGAGGGCGGUCGGUCACACUGACACUGACAUACGGGUCAGACUCCUACGGGAGGCAGCAGUCGGGAAUUUUGGGCAAUGGGCGAAAGCCUGACCCAGCAACGCCGCGUGAAGGAUGAAGUUUUCGGAAUGUAAACUUCACAAGAUUGGGAAGAAUAAGUUUUGGAUAAUACCCAAACGAUGACGGUACAUUUGUAAGCUCCGGCUAACUCCGU
rnacentral:rRNA from 1 species